rnacentral:rRNA from 1 species
UACAGAGGUCUCAAGCGUUGUUCGGAUUCAUUGGGCGUAAAGGGUGCGUAGGCGGCGCGGUAAGUCGGGUGUGGAAAUCUCGGGAGCUUAACUCCGAAACUGCAUUCGAUACUGCCGUGCUUGAGGACUGGAGAGGAGACUGGAAUUUACGGUGUAGCAGGUGAAAUGCGUAGAGAUCGUAAGGAAGACCAGUGGCGAAGGCGGGUCUCUGGACAGUUCCUGACGCUGAGGCACGAAGGCCAGGGGAGCAAACGGG